rnacentral:rRNA from 1 species
GGGUGACGAGUGGCGGACGGGUGAGUAAUGUCUGGGAAACUGCCCGAUGGAGGGGGAUAACUACUGGAAACGGUAGCUAAUACCGCAUAACGUCGCAAGACCAAAGAGGGGGACCUUCGGGCCUCUUGCCAUCGGAUGUGCCCAGAUGGGAUUAGCUAGUAGGUGGGGUAACGGCUCACCUAGGCGACGAUCCCUAGCUGGUCUGAGAGGAUGACCAGCCACACUGGAACUGAGACACGGUCCAAACUCCUACGGGAGGCAGCAGUGGGGAAUAUUGCACAAUGGGCGCAAGCCUGAUGCAGCCAUGCCGCGUGUAUGAAGAAGGCCUUCGGGUUGUAAAGUACUUUCAGCGAGGAGGAAGGUGUUGUGGUUAAUAACCGCAGCAAUUGACGUUACUCGCAGAAGAAGCACCGGCUAACUCCGUGCCAGCAGCCGCGGUAAUACGGAGGGUGCAAGCGUUAAUCGGAAUUACUGGGCGUAAAGCGCACGCAGGCGGUCUGUCAAGUCGGAUGUGAAAUCCCCGGGCUCAACCUGGGAACUGCAUCCGAAACUGGCAGGCUAGAGUCUUGUAGAGGGGGGUAGAAUUCCAGGUGUAGCGGUGAAAUGCGUAGAGAUCUGGAGG